UGGUUUAUAUCGAAUCAACAAACGAUAACAAGAAAGGGGUUUCUCUCUUUUUCUUUUUCCUUCUGUCCUCUACAUAAACCCUAAUUGAAGAAGUCACUUCUUCUUCUUCUUCAUCUCUUCUGAUAGAUACUGUCACACCUUUCUUUCUGUUCCUAUGAUUUUAUUUCUCUUGUACUACUGGCCUGAGUUUUACCCAGCAAGAGAGAAGAAGAAAGAAGAUUUGAUGAAUGAAUGGAGUACAUGUAUAUAUCUGGUGAUUGUUUUUGUGGUACUAGUUUCAGAUCUGACUAAAUCUUCUUUAUAUGGAGAUGGUUUCCUUUUCUAUUUAAGGAAACCUUUUCUUUUUCCCUUCAAUUUUCUUUUUUUUCUUUGUUUUUCUUUUUGUUGAAAUUUUUUUCAGGGUUGACAGAAGAGAGUGAGCACACACUCGGGAAAUUUGUAUAAUUUUUAUAUACGAUUGCCGGUGCGUGCUUACUCCUCUUUCUGUCAGCUGGAAAUUACUACUUAUUUUCCUGAACUCUGCCUUUAAACCCUAGCUAGCUGCUUUAAUUUCUCUCUGUCAGCUUUUAUUAUUAAUUUCUUCUUGCAGGUUGGUCUUCUACAGCAACGCUGUGUCUUUAAAGUUGCCUUAUCUUCUGCUCCUGCCUCUGUAAUAUUAAUUAUGAAUCUAUGUGUUUGUUUCCCUGACUGACAAGUUAUGUUAUGUUAUGUUAUGUUUUGAUGAUAUGAUAUAGAUAUAUCUGUGAGACCAAGAAGAAUUCACAGGAGAAGAAGAGAAGUGGAGCAUAAGUUUAGUUUAGUGUUUCUUCUUAUUAUUAUUUUAUAGAUUGCUAUGAUAAACAGUAACUACUAGUUAGUAGUACUAUUUUUUAUAUAUAAAAAAUGGAGAUUAUACUUCCAUAGGAUUAUAUAUAUAUAUAUAUAUCAUCAACAAUGAACUGUUUGAGCAAAAAUAAAAAAUCAUCUAUUUGAACACUAUUUUAUGUUUCUGCAACUCAAGAUUAUUCAUUCAUUUACAGAUUUAUAACUUCAAUUUCUUAUUAUCUGUGAUUCUUGUUUCUGUUUAUUUGUUAUUUGAUGUAGUCAGUCAGUCAUGUUGAUCAUAUUCUCUCUUCUGUAGGCUGAGAUCUAAUAAGUUUGUAUUUAAUGUGUGUUUUUGCAACUGGCUUGCUGUUCUUCUCUUCUGCAAACUUCAAUCUGUUACUCUCUAUUUGUUGAUGCAUCUGUUGCUGAGCUUUUUUUACAAACCUUGCUGUAGCUGCGGAGGAGAACUUCCAUAAAAUAGGUCUCCUCCUUUAAGCAGAUAAGAAAUGAAAUGGACAACUGCCUUGAUCAAUCAAAAAAUCUAGGUUACUAUAGGUUACUGAGAAUGGCUGCAAGUUCAGCUCCAAAGGCAUUGUAACCACCCAUGAAAAAAGAGAAGAUAGCUCGGCAGGCACCCAUUAAAAUGAACUGAUAGAUGGAGCGCACCAACAACUGAAAGAUGAUAUAUAUAUAUAUAUAUAUAAAGAUACAAGCUGGUGUCUAGAAGAGAACGGAAAACACUGUGUCAGUAGAUUAUUGUAGAACUUCACAUCAUCUAGUCUUGACUUAGCUGCGGCUUUGCCCAAAUGUAUUCGACUGUUACUUGUGCAGUUGUUCACUACCCUAAACUUUCUAUUCUAUUUUGCAUUGCAUGCUCA